rnacentral:rRNA from 1 species
UACGUAGGGGGGCAAGCGUUGUCCGGAUUUAUUGGGCGUAAAGAGCGUGUAGGCGGCUUUACAGGUCCGUUGUGAAAACUCGAGGCUCAACCUCGAGACGCCGGUGGAAACCGUAAAGCUAGAGUCCGGAAGAGGAGAGUGGAAUUCCUGGUGUAGCGGUGAAAUGCGCAGAUAUCAGGAAGAACACCAAUGGCGAAGGCAGCUCUCUGGGACGGUACUGACGCUGAGACGCGAAAGCGUGGGGAGCGAACAGG